rnacentral:ncRNA from 1 species
AAAGCCGUAUGAGGUGAAAGUUUCAUGUACGGUUUGGAGCGGGGGAAAAGUUAGAGAUUAUUUCAAAUACUUACCUAU